rnacentral:rRNA from 1 species
UACGGAGGGUGCGAGCGUUGUUCGGAAUCAUUGGGCGUAAAGCGCGCGCAGGCGGUCGGGGAAGUCUAUGGGUGAAAUGCCGGGGCUCAACUCCGCGCAUGCCCAAGAUACUCUCCGGCUGGAGACAGGUAGAGGCGAGCGGAAUUCCGGGUGUAGCGGUGGAAUGCGUAGAUAUCCGGAAGAACACCAGAGGCGAAGGCGGCUCGCUGGGCCUGAUCUGACGCUGAGGCGCGAAAGCGUGGGGAGCGAACAGGAUUAGAAACCCCAGUAGUCC